UACAGAGGUCUCAAGCGUUGUUCGGAUUCAUUGGGCGUAAAGGGUGUGUAGGUGGCGCGCUAAGUCGGGUGUGAAAUCUUGGAGCUUAACUCCGAAACUGCAUUCGAUACUGCCGUGCUUGAGGACUGGAGAGGAGACUGGAAUUUACGGUGUAGCGGUGAAAUGCGUAGAUAUCAGGAGGAACACCAAUAGCGAAGGCAGCUCGCUGGGACGGUACUGACGCUAAGGCGCGAAAGCGUGGGGAGCGAACAGG
rnacentral:rRNA from 1 species